rnacentral:lncRNA from 1 species
CUGGCACAUCAUCUAACACAUCACCUAGCACACAAGACAUGCUGAACCAAGGUUUGCCAUCAUUCUUCUCAAAGCCCACACACAGCUAGAGGGUUGAGAGCAAGGCUGCCAACCCUGGUUGUUUAAUUCUGCUCAUAAAGCUUCUGUAUGUUCCAUCUGCAAAAACUAAAUUCAGAGAAAAAUAACUGGAAAUAGAAAAGGGUGGUCAAGGAGAACACCAGAGCCAGAAGGAGGCGAAGACCAGUUCCUUGUGUAUCUGGAACUUGCCCUAUAGGGGUUCUUUGCCUCCUAUACCAGGCCCUGGAGGAAAAUCUGUUUGGUGGAGUCGCUGGAGCUUAAAGAAGGGGAAGUAAACUCAAGCGCACAUCCUGGUAACCUCUAGCCACGGGUCAAAUUUCACUGACGUCACUUAAAAAUGACCAAAGACCCGCCCCUGUGAAAACCCCGUGGGCAGCCAUUUUGUCUCAAGGAAACUGCCCAGAUCUGAGGUAAAGUAGUUCCGGACGUCUCUUGGU